rnacentral:rRNA from 1 species
UCCUACGGGACGCAGCGGGGAAUAUUGCACAAUGGGCGAAAGCCUGAUGCAGCAACGCCGCGUGAAGGAAGAAGGCCUUCGGGUCGUAAACUUCUGUCCUUGGGGAAGAAGAACUGACGGUACCCAAGGAGGAAGCCCCGGCUAACUACGUGCCAGCGGCCGCGGUAAUACGUAGGUGGCAAGCGUUGUUCGGAAUUACUGGGUGUAAAGGGAGCGUAGGCGGGAAAGCAAGUUGAAUGUUUAAGGAACGGGCUCAACCUGUACAAGCGUUCAAAACUGUUUUUCUUGAGUGGAGUAGC